AUUGCAAAAUCCUGGCUCUAAGCAUUCGUUAUCAGCAAGUUCAUGUUGUAACAGGUGCAGGCUUGUCCUUGGAGCUGGCUGAGUCUCACGGGAACGGCAGCAUCUAGCAAAGUGGUUUAAUUUCUUGCAGAAAUUACAUGUUUUACCAUAAGCAACACUGAACUGCCGACCCGCAGCAUGAAAAUAGUUGCAAUUUUGACAUUGAACAGCAGACCCUCUCCGCUGCCAGGCAUGGGAGGGCUGGGAACGGGUGUUACGAGAGGAGGUGUCUGACACUAUACUG